GUCUAUGACCACACUACCCUAAAAGCACCCGAUCUCCUCUGAUCUCAGAAGCUAAGCAGAGUGAGGCCUGAUUAUUACUUGGAUGGGAAAUUGCCUCAGUGAUCUACUAAGUAGUCA
rnacentral:rRNA from 1 species